GACGAACGCUGGCGGCGUGCCUAAUACAUGCAAGUCGAGCGGACGGAUGGGAGCUUGCUCCCAGACCGUCAGCGGCGGACGGGUGAGUAACACGUGGGCAACCUGCCUGUAAGACUGGGAUAACUCCGGGAAACCGGGGCUAAUACCGGAUAACUCUUUCCCUCACAUGAGGGAAAGCUGAAAGAUGGCAUCUCGCUAUCACUUACAGAUGGGCCCGCGGCGCAUUAGCUAGUUGGUGAGGUAACGGCUCACCAAGGCGACGAUGCGUAGCCGACCUGAGAGGGUGAUCGGCCACACUGGGACUGAGACACGGCCCAGACUCCUACGGGAGGCAGCAGUAGGGAAUCUGCCGCAAUGGACGAAAGUCUGACGGAGCAACGCCGCGUGAGUGAUGAAGGUUUUCGGAUCGUAAAACUCUGUUGUCAGGGAAGAACAAGUACCGGAGUAACUGCCGGUACCUUGACGGUACCUGACCAGAAAGCCACGGCUAACUACGU
rnacentral:rRNA from 1 species